UGCGGGAGUGGCCUCGGGCGCUAGAUGGCAAUGUGGCUGUGCGACAUCCCGGGAACGGCAGCAGCGAAAGUCUCCACACUCUAAAAGCUGUGCAAACUUCCUUUUCCCUGCAUUAUGACUACACGGGGAACAUUUCUUAAUGAGUUAGACUGAGGCUGUGUUUCCUGUCUGAGAUGAUAUUGAAGAUGAAGACUGGCUCCUUCUCCCGUUUCCUUCCUACAGACCAAAAGGAGACCUUUCCAAAGUAGGAGACCCUUCCUUUCAUCUGGAGGCAAACACAGCCCCAUUUGUAGCCCUUCUCUCUUCCACAAUGAUGAGAGUUGCUGCUUGCAGGUAAUAGAGAAGAUUUGUAUUUAAUGAAUGAGCACCAAUCUGAAGGGAUCUUCCUGGACUUGGGCCCUUGCUGCCAUCUCCUGCCAUGCUGCUCCCAGAUCCCCUGCUAAGCACUGGAGCUCUGCUCCUCUUAGGGGCAAUAAAAAUUUCUUUGCAAGUCCCCUUUCUACAAACAAGGCUUGCUCGUGAGCAUCACGUUUUGUGCGCUGCUGGGAUGCUGAGUGAGCAAACUGAGCUUGGCUUCAGGUGCUGCUCUGCUGCGUGGAGGUGCAGUGAUUUACUGGCUGUGCUUUCCUGCGCUGAUGUCUGUAA